CUUUUCUAGGGCUGCUCCUGCAGCAUAUGGAGGUUCCCAGGCUAGGGGUCAAAUCGGAGCUGUAGCCACCAGCCUACACCACAGCCACAGCAACGUGGAAUCCGAGCCACAUCUGAGACCUACGCCACAGCUCACGGCAAUGCCGGAUCCUUAACUCACUGAGCAAGGCCAGGGAUUGAACCCGCAACCUCAUGGUUCCUAGUCAGAUUCGUUAACCACUGCGCCAGGACGGGAACUCCAGAGACCAUGCAUUUCUUAUUCACGUUUGUACGACUAGUUCCUGGCACUGUACCUUGCACAUAUAAAAUGCUCAAUUCAUUUUUUAACUGAGUAAAAAAAUUUCUGCAGCUUAUUGUAAUAUUACUAUAAGAGUGUUAAUUAUUUUGUUGAAUGAACAAUCAUCUAAACAAGUUUUCAGGAAAAAAAAAUCACCUCCUGGUGCACUGGCAUGCUUCCUGUCACCAGACAAUGACUGAUGUCCAACUCAUAGUGCUUCCCUUUCUGAAACUCUCAAGAAACACAGAGCUGUUCACCAAACAUAAAAUCAAACCACGCUCUCAUUAAAAGCUUUCCAACAGUCAAAAAAAGAGAAAGAAACACAGAAGCCACAGCAGUGACAAUGAGGAACCCAAUGAGCUACAAGGGAACUUCUUUUUUUGCUUAUUUUAAUGCUUUUAUUGGAAGUUGGCUAAAAUAAUUUUGGGGUGUAUCCAUUCAUUAAAAAAAAAUCAAUCUGUCCAUCUAUCUAAUGAGUAGUUGUAUAUGUCAGGCAUGGUGCUAAGCACAAUAACCAAUGGAUGAACAAUGGACAGAGUGCAUGCUGGGACAUGGCUUAAGGAGAAGGGACAGCUGGAGGGCAGCGAGGAGCACUGCAGUGGACAGGAGGGAGGAUAGACUUAGAGCAGAAAGAAAAAGAAAAAGCAGAGCUCAGGAAUAAUGCUCGGGGGACGCUUCAGUGAUGGUAAGAAUGGCUCAUUAAGAUGUUAUGCUGAGGCAGACAGGGAGUAACUACGACACUCACUACGAAGCGGGAAAAAUUCUUAAGACCCAGCCCAGUUGAGCCAACAAGCAGAAUCACCAUGACCCACAUAGGACCAAAAAAGAACAAUAACCUCUGGCCAGAAAUCUGAAGAAAUGAACAAGAGUCAACUACAGUUGACCCGUGAACAACAUUUGUUUGAACUUUGAGGGUCAACCAACAUACAGAUUUUUUUUUUCAAUAGUUAAUAGUGUAGCAUUGAGUGAUCCAUGGUUGGUUAAAUCUGCAGAUAUGGUGGACCUGUGGAUACAGAGGGCUGGCUAUAAAUUAUAGCUGGAUUUCUGACUGCACAGAGAGUCAGCACUUCUAACCACCUACCCCCAACUGUUCAAGGGUCAGCUGUAUUACUACAUCUUCCAAAUAAUUUCAGAUUUCUUACAAUAAAAGGCAAUGAAUUUUUAAUUCACAAGUAUAUACUUUAUUUAGAAAGGUAUGUCAAGAGUUUGGUUAGAAAGUCUACCUACAGGUCAUAUUGUAUAUAGGUAUUCUCAACUAUGUCUAUGUCCUUUCUAUUUAAUUAAAGAACUACAAUAAGGUGGAGUUUUAUUGUUGUUAUAGAGUAAAUGACAGUUUUGAGGAUUGCUAGGAUUCUCUGGUCAUUAUAUUGAUGCCCACCCGAAAAACUUUUCAGCAUGGCUACCUCCAAUCUUCUGUCUUUAUUUUUUUUGGCUAUACCCACAGCAUAUGGAAGUUCCCGAGCUAGGGAUCAAACUCAUGCCACAGCAGUGACCCCAGCUGCUUGCAGUUACAAUGUUGGAUCCUUAACCGACUAUGGCACAAGAGAACUCUCCCUCCAAUCCUUUCUUACUUGAGUUCAGCUAAAGGGGCUUGAGAUGGGGAGAGACAGAGAUGUAGAAUUGAUGGAGGUGGGUUAUAAAUACACAGAAUUUCAGAUUCUUUAUUCAAAGGUGUACUCAUGGGGUUGUUAUUAAUAUGCACUCACUCUUAUUUUAUGGAGAAUUCUAAUACACCUCGAUCUGAUUUACAAACCUGUAAUGGAGGCAAUUAAAUUAGCAGUGGAGUCAAGAAGUGCCAACAUGGAAAGAUAAUAUAAAAAAUACAUUUCCUACGAAAAGGAGACAGAAAAGCUCAGAAAUCACAGCCAGGUGGGGUCAUUCCAUUCAGCAGAAUCUAGGCUCACUGGCAUCACCAAACAGGAGAACAGGGCUAAGUUAUUUUCAGCCAAACUUAAGAUAUCAUACAAGAAAGUAGCUGAUCUGCUAGAAAAGGCUUUCUACUCAAAAGGGUCAAUUCUUUUUCCUUUUUUUUCUUUUUCAACUGCCAUGUUGGGGAGGGAGAAUUAAAUCAUUCACUAGGAAAAAAACGGAGCCACACUGAGAAUUUUGCAAAUAAUGUUCACACAUUUUACUGUUAAGGGCCAGAUUUGAUGAAAUCUAGGUAAAAUCCUGAAAUCAAAUCCCAAUGGUAACUUUAAAGAAAACCAGGGGCUUCACCCUUAUGUAUUUAGAUUAUUUGUAUUAACUAUAGAUAAGCUGGUAGUUGUAACUCGUUACUAGUUGAGCUGACAGUCAUAUCCAACGGAUCUGACUAAUAUUUUUAACCCUAUCAUUCACAUCUCCAGUUUAAAAAGAACAAUUCAUUUUGGGGGGCAUGGUGACAAGAGCUAGCACGUAUUCCCUCUUUUAUUCAAACAGGAGUAUGGGGGUUUUCUCUGAUCUGGGCAGAUGCACCAAACUGCCCAAGUGCAAACAGGAAGAGGAAAGGUGCUGAGGAAUUUAAUGUGUAUUUAUCAAGCAUGGGGGUAAAUAAGACACUUGAGGUUGAGUUUAUAGACCAGCAACACUAAACGAUACCAGAGCAUCACUGCCAUUCAGAAGCCGUUAAGGUCACAGCCCCCACUUAGCAGAAAACUGCCCUUACUCAGGUCACAGGCAAGUGGUACAACCAUUGCAAUGGUAAGAGUCUGGUCACCUCCUUAGGCAGCCUCUGUUCUCUGUACGCCGACAGUGCAUAAUUGGCAGGGAAGGCCACAUGCCAUCGAAAUCAGUGGCCCUGGUGACACUUUGAGGCACACUGCCUCCAACUGUACAAACACUGGGACGGAAGAAGCAAACAGAGGCACAAACAAUUUCCCUAAACACUGUUUUUAAGCUGAUCCUGUAGUUAGUGGUCUGCACAACACAGAAGAAUACAAUCAGGAACAAUGAACCAUUCCGUCACACUACCAGAGACAGUGCUCCUUGUGGCCUCUAUGUUAAACAAAAAGCCAAGCUUGCAAGCGCAACUCUCAACCAUCCUGCCAGUGGAGGAAGUAUAAACACAGCUUCCUGUUUCCUGGCCGACCUCACCUCCAGACACUGACACACGCCUCACUUCCUUCCUCCUGGAAACACAACACUGUGCUUAUAGCUCUUCUGCUCAGUUCUGUGGGCUCUCUCGCUCUCUCUCUCCUUUUUUUUUUUUUUAAACUAGAUAAGCAGCUGUCGGGAAGACAAGUGAUAGAUUACUGGGUAGAGGGUUGGAGAGGAAGAUGGAAGGGGUGCGUACGUUCUGCUGGAAGACAUGGGAGAGGGGAAGCAAAGGAAGACUGCACGUUCGAGCAGAAGCAAUGAUCAGGAGUACAGCGAGCACACUCGUGGGACUUGAGAGCUGCAAGGACUUUCCAAAUCCUUCAGUCCUUCAGUUCCAUCUCCCCACUUUAGAGAAAGGAAAUAAAAGUUGAGAGCCAUUCAGCUCCCUUCCAGGGGUCAUAACGUUAGGCAGUUAACAUAAUUAGGGCUCCCCUAACUAUCGGCCCCCCUGCGGGAAAUAACUAACACUGAAUAAUUACCCUUCUCCUGAGAAACAACAUGUUUUUCACCUCGAGGUUGCUGUGAAGUGUUGAACAGAGCAGGUUUCCCUGUUCACUGGAGGAAGCGAAUCUUCAAGAGAAGCCUGGGGCCCGUUCAUUAAUCAAGCAUUCCAGGCAGUAAGGCUUUUUUCUUAACUCAUUUCUAGCUCCCUCUUAUGCCUUCUUUUUCCCUCCUUUCUUCUAGGACUUCUAUUCAUUAUCUUUGUUCUCCUGCAUUUCAUAGAUCUUUGCAAACUCGCUUUCUGUUCCCUUCUGGAACAAAGCAGCAUGUUAUAAAUACCUCCUAUAAUACUUGCCCUUCCAAGGAACUUGGUGUGUUUCACACAAGUUGGUGUGUUCACCGAUUCUCACUGGAAUGUAUAAAGGAGGGAGGUCGAGUAUUGCUGUUUUCCUUUACACGGUUGUGUCAAGAAUCUGACAUCAGUCUUAGGACUGGCACGCUCAUACUUAUUCCUGUAAAAUAUACAGAUGACCCUUUGAAAAUGCAGCAGUUGGGGUCACCAACCCUCCAGCAGUGGAAAAUCAUAACCUAUAGUCACUCCUCUGCAUCUGUAGUUCCUCCAUUUCCUCAGAUUUGCAUCUGCAGAUCGUGUUACUCUAAUACACACUACUGGAAAAAUCCACGUAUAAGAGGAACUGCACAUUUCAAAUGCAUCUUGUUCAAUGGUCAAGUGUAAUUCUUCCUGAGUAAGAACUGUUGUUAUACUAAUUGAAAACUCAGUUCCUAUAUAUAUAUAUAUUCUUAAAAAUAUAUCAUAUUUUGCUUAAAUUAAAUUAAGAAGCACCUUAGCAAACCUUAUGCCUUUAAGGCACAUUUUCAUUCAAAUGAAAGACAUGUCAGGCUGAGAAGAAAAUGAAAUAUAUUUCUAAAGGAACUGCACAAAAGAGUAGCAGAAGGUGCCCAUGUGCUGAAAAUUAUUGUUUCGCUCCAUUUCCAUACGUUCACAAAGAGCAUAAUAAUUUACACCACCUUCCAUCUGUUCAGCUGCCCACGGCAUCAUUUUUAUUUGGACAAUUUUACCGAGGGAGGAAAAAAAAAUCCAGUGGAAUAGAGAAAGUAACCAGGUAUUCUUUUCUAUUCCAUCUCCACUGAGGAUGAAGGGCUUGGGGCUGGAUUUGUGAGUCUCUCUCAAGCUUCAGGACACAAGCAACCAGAGAGUAAGAACAUACCACGGCUCGACAGUACCAGGUGACAACCAGACACCUUUUCAAGCCUGGAUGAUUCCACUCCAAAGAAGGGUGGCACCUGCCCUUCCACACCUACGAGGGCUCUUAAAGGGCCCUACAUAAUUUAUGUGGCUUGAAGGGAUGUGAAAUGCAACCUAAGAUGUAAGCGUUUAAAUUUAGAAGCAGAGAAGGCACCAGGCCAGGCUUAGAAAUGUAAACACUUGUUCAAUGCCAGGCCUCCAUGAGGCCCUGCAGCUCCUGCCCCUUAUCUCUGGUGCAUCUCUACAAUUCUGGGUCCUUUAAGAAGGCCGUCUUCUCAGGCCAUGCACGCAGCUUUGGGGCCCCCCUGGAGCAUGUAUCACAUCACCGAGCACGCAGCAUCUCUUCCUGAAGACUAUUACACAUUGCUUAGUCUACACAUGUGCUACGCUAAUGUGCAAAACACUCCCCUUACUUUUUGGCUGACCUGGUAAUCCGGGGCUGCCUGCUACUGUGUGGGGAGAUCAUCGGAGAUUCCAGGCUAACUGUGCUAAGGGAACUAGUGUGCUAUUUGCACACACUGUAAAGGGGGACUUCAUACCAAGAAAAGCAAAGUCUCCUGAUGUGGGUGGAAAAAAAAAAAUCAAAAGAAGGCGCUAUAGCUUUCCACUCGGCACUCAUUUUAUUAGUUAUUAGUGAGGAAGGACAGUUUUAGGCAAGCUCCUGGGUAUUGCUCUAACACACUGCAUCUCAUGAAGAAGCUACAAAGGCCUCUUUUGUCCUCAUGGUAAAGGUCCCUGUACAGAAAGGAAUCAAAAUGUCAGCAUUUUCCUGUCUUGCUCCUAAGGGAGAUCAGUCUUUGAAGAGGCUAUCAAACUAGCCAAAUUCAGCAUCCUUGCUUUAAUUA
rnacentral:lncRNA from 1 species